rnacentral:lncRNA from 1 species
AUGAAGUGUUCCUCUAGACUCCUGUGUGGACUCCUCAUGUCAUGCCUUUGUUUCAGAGGUUCAUAUGAGGAGCUGACUGUGAUUCAGAGCCCAUCUAGUAUCACUGUGAAUGAAGGACAAUCUGAUCAAAUCAGCUGCUGCUGGAAUAAAACAAAAGAAGAAAACAAUGAUUUUAAAGUAGUUUGGUAUAAGGAUAAUGAAAGAAUACCGGUAGAAAAGCGGCUAAAUCAAACGUCCCCUAUGAAAAACUGCUCCUUUCUGAAAAUCAUAAAUAUAGGUAAAAAUGACACUGGAGAUUAUGUUUGUAAAGUGAUUCAGGACAUACCAGUUCUGCUAGAAUAUGAGGGACAAAAAACAUACCUGAAUGUCAGUAAAGGUGAACACAGGACUGAGGCAACAACUCAAAACAUCAUUGCAGGCAGUGCUAGUACAUCUUCCUACAAAACUCAAAGCAAUGGGACUACCGGCCCCCCUUCAACUCCCAUCCUGCCUCUAUCUCUGGGCCUGGCUGCUGCCAUCGGCCUGCUGACCCUCUGCUUGGCCUUCAGUGUGUGCAAGAUGAGAAACUCCUGUAAAAAAUCAGAGCGAGUGGUCAUUCACCAGACGCCACACAGUGAGGGUGAGGAGCAUGAGAACAUGGAAGAAGAGGAAGGUAGCACAGGCUCCUCUCGAGGAUCCCUACAAUGGUAUCAAGUGCCUGUUUACUGGUCUUACUUUGAUCUACGGAGGGGUGAAGACCAGUGACAACCAGAAAAGAAAGACAAUCGUGAUAUACUGUUCACUGCAUUGCAUUUAGCGUUCUCUCUCUUCUUUCAUGAGAACAUCUUUGUAAAUAGCAAAAGCAAUUUUAAUUUUCAGAUACAGUUUGAGCCCUUGAACUCUUGUUGAUGGUAACAGAUAUGAAUCCCUCUCUUUGUAGCAGCUAUGUUGAUAGGUUUAUUCUUAUUUUAAUUAUUAUUUUUAUAUGAGUCUUUUUUAAAUUAAAGUGAAGAAGUGUCAUACUGACAUGCAUGGUAAACUACUUGGAUUUCAUGCCCUGACAGAUGCAAUUCAAAUAUGUAUAAAAGUAGCACACACUGCCUGCCCUGAAGUUUUCUUUGUGUCUAACUGUGAAACGUUUUAUAGUAAAGACUUUUGUGCUGUACAGAUGCUGCCUAUGCCUUUCAGCCUUCUUAGAAAUGUUUCUCAGACUUCAUUCUGACACUUUCAUACUGUGGUUUUGUUUGCCAUUUACAAUAAAAGUCUGUGAAAACCAUUGACUGUGGUACUUGUGUCAGUACAUGUGAGACAGAAGAAAGUGAGGUAGAUGCUGAGCUGCAGGGUGGAAACUGUGAUGUUAUUGACAGGUCAAUGGCAGGAAAUGGAAAGUGCAGUGCAUCUGGUUUUCUUUGACCUUAUUUUCAACACGAUGCACCUGUGUGUACUUCUGUUGACCAACAAACAAAACAGCAAGUAAUACUGUAAGUAACAUUUAGACAUGUAGAAUAAAUACACCAGGUUAUUUCUUAUAUAGAAAAAUAAAACUUAUUAUGUCAGCAAAUGUCUUCAGAUUUUGACUAAAUCUAAAGAGAUGGCCAACCACAAGCGCACCAUCAAGCUGUACUGGUCUCCUUCAUGCUCUACCAUGACCUAGAUUUUUCUCUCACACACCUCAUACAUAAGAACUUGCACCAUCUGUGACACCGUGCACUUUUUUGACCACAAGAAUGUUUAAAGUAAUUCUUUAUAGACCGUAAAAUCUGUUGUCCAAAACACAUGAAUGACCAGAAUGUAUUUUGCUUUCUCAAACAUUUUUUGUGAUGGUGAUCUUGGUGUGAUUGGAUAUUUAGACUGAUAUUGUAUAGGUUUGCUUGUUCAAAUG